CUAGUACUUCCUCCGUCCGAAAAUACUUGUCAUCAAAAUGGAUAGAAAUAGAUGUAUCUAGAACUAAAAUACGUUUAAAUACAUCCCCUUUUAUUUAUUUUGAUGACAAGUAUUUCCGGACGGAGGGAGUAGUAA
rfam:Triticum aestivum genome assembly, contig: Triticum_aestivum_CS42_TGACv1_scaffold_224002_3B